rnacentral:rRNA from 1 species
GAGUUUGAUCGUGGCUCAGAACGAACGCUGGCGGCGUGGAUAAGACAUGCAAGUCGAACGGGAGAAUUGCUAGCUUGCUAAUAAUUCUCUAGUGGCGCACGGGUGAGUAACACGUGAGUAACCUGCCCCCGAGAGCGGGAUAGCCCUGGGAAACUGGGAUUAAAUACCGCAUAGUAUCGAAAAGAUUAAAGCAGCAAUGCGCUUGGGGAUGGGCUCGCGGCCUAUUAGUUAGUUGGUGAGGUAACGGCUCACCAAGGCGAUGACGGGUAGCCGGUCUGAGAGGAUGUCCGGCCACACUGGAACUGAGACACGGUCCAGACACCUACGGGUGGCAGCAGUCGAGAAUCAUUCACAAUGGGGGAAACCCUGAUGGUGCGACGCCGCGUGGGGAUGAAGGUCUUCGGAUUGUAAACCCUACGUCAUGUGGGAGCAAAAUU